UAUUAAAAAUUUCAUCAAUUUCUAUUAAAAACUGGUGUAGCUGACAAAAUAACCAUACAGUUACACAUAACAUCCUAUGCGCACCUCAUACGGAUAUACAUAGACCAGUGUUUAAUAGUAGAAAUAGAUAAAAUUUUUAACA
rfam:Gossypium hirsutum cultivar TM-1 chromosome 6, whole genome shotgun sequence